rnacentral:lncRNA from 1 species
AACCCAUUUCCCCUCAAAAAAGUAUUUGAAGCUCAUAUCCAACACUACUUUUUCUCCCGCCUGACUUCCCUGAGGAGUGAGAAGACCUGAUUCCAUCCCAGGAGACCCCUGGCACCAUUUUAUUGGUAACGAGUGAACCAACACCUGGAUUUAAACUGAAUCUUUCGAGUUAGAGUUUCCAACGCUAAACAGCAUCUUGAGACUCCUAUUAAGUGAGCCAGAAGAGACUGAAGGUGUAGAAACCAGCCAAGAGAGGCCAAGGAAUUUGUCCAAGGUCAUCCAGGCAGUGACUUCACUUCCUGCGACCUUCUUACUCACAACUCCUCAUGCUUCUGUCACCUGCCAGGCCUUCCACAGGACAACUUCUGUACAGUACUUUGGCCUACUCUUCUCAACACUGAGAAAUGGGGUUCUCCCUUUUAAAAGCAAAAUGUAAAGGUGUAUAACUAUGGACCACAAUCCACGCUAAAUCUUGAACAUAAUUGAUUUCUUCUACUGUGCUGACUGCAUUAUUCUAUGGGGAAGGGUAUUUAAGUUACUCUGCAAUUCUUUGGCGAUGACCUCUUGCAUAAGUAUCAUGGGAUGGAGGUCACCAGGCUUUUCUAUGUAGACAUCCACUUAAAGCCUUAGUUCCAAGUCAAUUCUCACUAGGUGAUAAAGUGUUAUCUGAGCAUGUUCUAAAGAAUGACUUUCUGAAGCCUAGUGAGAUAAGUCAUUCAUACUCUAACACAGAUCUCUUAAACAGAGCUGGUUAUUCCUGUAGGGGAACUAUAUUCAGAUCAAACUAAUUUCUUAAAUGACAUAAAAGGAGCGAGACACUUGGAGGAGUCUUAUGUAACUGACUGAGUGCUGAUGGCUUGGGACUAGAUGGUAGCUGACAGGGAAAGGAAAGCUGAGUCCUAGAAAUGGCAGAAAUUGUAAUUUUAAAAAUUGCAGUAACUAUCACCUGCCAGGUAUUAAAAUGAUUAAAGGGCUUCUUUUUCUACACCCCUAUUGUGAUAGGUUUCAUAAGCAAAUAAUUUUAAGAACACUAACCUGUUAAGCACUAGUAAUUAGUUGAGGAAAAACAAAUACAAAUGUUCUUGAAGACGAAGCAAACCCUGAGGGAAUUCAGUCCUCUGAAAUUAUACUGAGUGUUACUGAGGUAAUUCUUGAUGACUGCUACCCCAGUUGAAAACCCCCUUCAUAGUUUCUUCUGUUUCCCGUCAUCUAAUAACGUCUGGAAAAACAAAACCAAAAACCAAUCAAACAAACAAACACCCCAAGGGAUUUGGCUCAAUAGGUAAGAGUGCUGAGCAAAAAAAAACAAAAAAAACAAAAAAAAAACCGAGAAUCUGAGUUUGAAUCCCAACACCCAUGUUAAUAGCUGGGUUCACU